AACGAACGCUGGCGGCAUGCCUAACACAUGCAAGUCGAACGAGACCUUCGGGGCUAGUGGCGCACGGGUGCGUAACGCGUGGGAACCUGCCCUUAGGUUCGGAAUAACUCCCCGAAAGGGGUGCUAAUACCGGAUAAUGUCUUCGGACCAAAGAUUUAUCGCCUUUGGAUGGGCCCGCGUUGGAUUAGCUAGUUGGUAGGGUAAAAGCCUACCAAGGCGACGAUCCAUAGCUGGUCUGAGAGGAUGAUCAGCCACACUGGGACUGAGACACGGCCCAGACUCCUACGGGAGGCAGCAGUGGGGAAUAUUGGACAAUGGGCGAAAGCCUGAUCCAGCAAUGCCGCGUGAGUGAUGAAGGCCUUAGGGUUGUAAAGCUCUUUUACCCGGGAUGAUAAUGACAGUACCGGGAGAAUAAGCGCCGGCUAACUCCGUG
rnacentral:rRNA from 1 species